UGCUUUUUGGAAAAAAAAAAAAAAAAAAAUCUAUUGAUUGUCAAUUGAGAGUUCCUUUGACAGAUUGCAUUUCCCACCUUUGUGAUGGUGGGCAUAGUUUAUCAACUACGACUGAAUGAUAUGCCUUUUGCUCAAAUAUGAACUGCAGAAACAGCUGUUGUGAUUUCCUUGGUUCUUGGAUCGCCGCUUUCUAACAAAACACCAUUAGGGUCUUCUCUAACCAACAGGGCCAGAACAUUGAGUGAACUCCAAGCUUUUGCCACAUUGGUACCAGAGUCCCCUAAGGUAACAGCGAAGACUGCAUCAAACCCACCUGCUCCAGGAACUCCAGCCAACAAGACUCCAUCCAUAUUCAUAGUAGUAUCCAAAAGUCGAGUCUGUGAUUCAGGCUCUAUCGGAACACCUGCAGCCUCACCCAUCUGGCGCAUGUAAUUUCUGAUCUGAAGCAUGGCAUUUCUUGAUCCUAAUAAUGCUUUAACAACUGCUUCUCGGCUGGGUUCAGUUGCCUGCUCAAUCCACUUCUCUGAGUUUUUUGUGCUGCAACUGUCUAUCACACAUUUAUACGCGUCCCAAUGUUCUUCUGCGAGCUUGCUUAAAAUAUUGAAUUGCGUUUCAAGUGCUGAAUUUGCCUCUGACAACUUUCUCCAUGUUUCUUGGGAUUUCUGAGUAUCAGACUUCUGCCAUUUCUUUAGAGCACCUACCAUUGAUGGCGUGGAAGAUCCUCCAGUUCCUGGCUCACCUAGUAGCAGGCUCAUCAAUGGUGGCAAGGAAAACAUAGUCCUCUCAUGGUCCCAUUUUCCUUUUAGGAUGUUAGAAAUGACUUCCUGUAAUGGAAUUCCUUUCCCAGCAUCCUGAGCAGAGGAAAGCACUUCUGGAGAGAAGCGCACGUAUCGAUGACUGCCAUAAACUGCAGAACUAACAUCAAAUCCACUGCCGACUUUCCCUUGUGCAAUACAAUGGGCAGUUUGGGCUAUUAUAUGUACCAAAUCAAGAUCAGAAAAUUUCUUCUCUUUACAAGAGGAUGAAAGAUCAACCAAUCCAAGGUGAUGAAGUAAAGCAGCAACUACAGCAGUGGUCAUUGCUGCUGAUGAACCCAAUCCAGUUUUAGCUACCUCAGGCUUGCAGUUUUGUCCAUUUGCUUCCUCUACAUUGAAGGUGAUUGAGGAAAAAGAAGGAAGUGCAGCCAAUGAUUCUGGUGUCAAAGGGAGUCCACAUGCUUCAAUCUCAUUUCGGUAUGAAUAGAAGUCAUUGGUACCUAAUAUUGUAAUAUCAAGACCUUGCAAGAGUAGCUUGUUUAAGACAUUCUUCUUAUCUUUGUCAAGUGUUGCAUGUGCAGCUGCUACAGCAAAUUGCACUGCUUGUUCCACAAAUGGGUUCCUUGAUGCACUUGAAGAGACACACUGAAGAGCUAAAUUUUUCAGUGACAAUUUGUACAAGCUUUCCCUUGCUAGUUGGGGAGAUGUUAAUUUCACAUCAGUCCAUGCCCAUGCCCAACUAUCAGGUUUGAUUUCAUCGUAAAUAGGCUUCACAAUGGCAUAGAAUCGAGCAUUUGUGCUGAGUACAAUCCCUGCAUUGGGUCUUUCCAAUAUGAGGUAACCCCCAGUCAUCAACACCUUACCCGGAGCAGAAGCAACUACAGCCAUUGCGUCUUUUCUCUCUCUCCGCCUCUGUUAAUUUCUGAAAUAGGCAAGUAAUGGAAGCAGAUGCGGAGAGUGAAGAUCCAGCGAAGAGGACGAAGAUCAGCUCGCACUUGUGUCUCUUU
rnacentral:misc_RNA from 1 species